GUUCGAAAUAACAGUGUGACACGACUAUAAACACCACAAGCAAAGAUGCCAACCAUCAGCGACGAGGAUCGUAAAGGUGCCCUGGCUGGCACUCGUCUUGCAAGAGCAGUAUUGCUACCUGCGGCCGUGGUUGCGGGACCUUUUGCACCACUGGUUGCAGUUAUAAUAGGAGCAGCUGCCGCUGGAUCAGCAGCAGGAUUUGCUACUGCUGCCAGUUUGCCAUCAGAUGAAAAGAAGUAGCAGGUCUGUCUUGGCAAUGAAAAGGAACUUACACACCGGACUUCUACGAUGGUCUUAGCAAGGCCACCUACGGAAAAAUUUCUUGUGGUUAUUUUGGCAUCCUAGACGGAAAAGGUCUUAGUAAUAUUGGUUAACUGUAGUGACAGCAAUGCUUAGGUAUUAAUCAAAUAAUAUUAGUUAAUUGUGGUGACGGUAAUGCUUAGAGGUCAAUCAAAAAGGAGGAAAUUUAUGAAAUAAAGUAUACCUGUCUCGAACUUU